rnacentral:tRNA from 2 species
CCCUGGUUAGCUCAGUUGGUAGCGCGAUCCACCUGUAAUGGAGAGGUCCUGGGUUCGAUUCCCGGACCAGGCG